UUUUUUUUCUCUCUCCCUCUCUCUCCUGGGAUCCCAGCAUGGCCUAAUUGAGGGGCGCCCCUCAGUGCUGGGGUGAUGACAAGAGGCUUGCCCUUCAGUGUCGGGGUGAUGACGAAAGGGGCGCCUCUCAGUGUCGGGGUGAUGACAAGAGGGGCGCCUCUCAGUGUCAGGGUGAUGACGAGAGGGGCGCCUCUCAGUGUCGGGGUGAUGACGAGAGGGGCGCCUCUCAGUGUCGGGGUGAUGACGAGAGGCUUGCCCUUCAGUGUCGGGGUGAUGAUGAGAGGCUUGCCCCUCAGUGUCGGGGUGAUGACGAGAGGGGCGCCUCUCAGUGUCGGGGUGAUGACGAGAGGCUUGCCCUUCAGUGUCGGGGUGAUGAUGAGAGGCUUGCCCUUCAGUGUCAGUGUGAUGAUGAGAGGCUUGCCCUUCAGUGUCGGGGUGAUGAUGAGAGGCUUGCCCCUCAGUGUCGGGGUGAUGACGAGAGGCUUGCCCCUCAGUGUCGG
rnacentral:lncRNA from 1 species